rnacentral:lncRNA from 1 species
UUUAAACUAUUUUUAAAUAUUUUAUGGGGGGGAUACAAGUAGAAUUAUGCUAGUUUUUAUAUCAAUCACAUGCGAUUAAUAAGUAGAAUUACGCUAGUUAUUACAUCAAUCACAUGUGAUUAAUAUAUAGCAUUCAAAUGAUUUGGCUACUCAUUAGCCGUUUUACCAAACAGUUUCCUUCAAAUGAUUUUUAUAAACAUUUUAUAUGUUUUAAACUCCUUAUUACACUGUACAUCUUCUCCGUACAUUACCUUUCAAACUUAUUUACCACUGUGUUUCAAACAAAUGUUUCCUUAUACUCAAACUGUUUUAUCAAACUUAUGCCUUCAAAUUGUUUUAUAGAUUGACAUCAAGUCGAUCUUUCCUUAAAAUAAUAUUUAUGUUUCAAAUGUCUUACCAAACUUAUUUAUGCUUUUAUAUUAUAAAUUGCAUGCCUCUAUAUGUAUAGUUAUAUAAGAAAUGUUUAAAAGACUUAGGAAGGCUAUCCACCCUAUUUCCUUUUCGCGCCUUGAGAUGUGGUCUGGUGGGAUAUCGGGUAUUCGUCCGAAAGUCGUUUAAAUAUUAGUUAUAUAUCAUGUGUACAUAUAUAGUCAUAAAAGGUCCUUCCAGUUCAACAUAUGCCUUUGGGUAGCAAGGGUAUACAUCCAUGUCCAUACUUACCAGAUAGAUUACUAGUAAAGUACCAUAUGGGUGGUUUAGGAAGAUACUAGAACUAUUACUAGAAUGCGAUAACAUACAAUGAGUCAGUUCAUUCAUGAGUCACUACUUUGUAGAACAUUACUGUACGUUACANGAACUAUUACUAGAAUGCGAUAACAUACAAUGAGUCAGUUCAUUCAUGAGUCACUACUUUGUAGAACAUUACAUUACAUUACAUAUACAACUAUACUAGGAAGAGAACAUAUACAACUAUACUAGGAAGAGAACACAUACAACUGUACUAGGAAGAGAACAUAUACAACUAUACUAGAACGAUUACAUUACUUUACUUGCUAGAUAGAGAGAACACACAUUACAGCUAGCACACGUAGAACCUUACAGUACUCU